UACGUAGGGUGCAAGCGUUGUCCGGAAUCAUUGGGCGUAAAGAGCGUGUAGGCGGCUCGAUCAGUCCGCUGUAAAAGUCCAAGGGCUCAACCCUGGGAUGGCCGGUGGAGUACUGUCGAGCUAGAGUCCGGAAGAGGCGAGUGGAAUUCCUGGAUGUAGCGGUGAAAUGACGCAGAUAUCAGGAGGAACACCAAUGGCGAAGGCAGCUCGCUGGGACGGUACUGACGCUGAGACGCGAAAGCGUGGGGAGCAAACAGG
rnacentral:rRNA from 1 species